CAGUCGCCACGGUAAUACAGAGGAUGCAAGCGUUAUCCGGAAUGAUUGGGCGUAAAGCGUCUGUAGGUGGCUUUUCAAGUCCGCCGUCAAAUCCCAGGGCUCAACCCUGGACAGGCGGUGGAAACUACCAAGCUGGGGUACGGUAGGGGCAGAGGGAAUUUCCGGUGGAGCGGUGAAAUGCGUUGGGAUCGGAAAGAACACCAACGGCGAAAGCACUCUACUGGGCCGACACUGACACUGAGAGACGAAAGCUAGGGGAGCAAAUGGGAUUAGAUACCCGCGUAGUCCCUGUCUCUUAUAC
rnacentral:rRNA from 1 species